UCCCUGGUGGCUCAGAUGGUAAAGAACCUGCCUGCAAUGCAGAAGACCCAGGUUCGAUGCCUGGGUGAGGAA
rfam:TPA: Bos taurus chromosome 21, whole genome shotgun sequence.